UACGGAGGGUGCAAGCGUUAAUCGGAAUUAUUGGGCGUAAAGGGCGCGUAGGCGGGACAGUAAGUCAGAUGUGAAAGCCCGAGGCUUAACCUCGGAACAGCAUCUGAAACUACUAUUCUAGAGGAUAGAUGGGGAAAACGGAAUUCCACAAGUAGCGGUGAAAUGCGUAGAUAUGUGGAAGAACACCAGUGGCGAAGGCGGUUUUCUAAUUUAUUCCUGACGCUGAGGCGCGAAAGCUAGGGGAGCAAACAGG
rnacentral:rRNA from 1 species